GACUCGGACUCAUGCGAUCGUAACGCCCAAAUCUUGUCAGGAUCGGAAGAUAGCAGCAAUACGGGACGCUUAUGAUAGGCGUGAAAUCCGGGUCUCC
rnacentral:SRP_RNA from 1 species